rnacentral:rRNA from 1 species
UGGGCGAAAGCCUGAUCCAGCCAUGCCGCGUGUGUGAAGAAGGUCUUCGGAUUGUAAAGCACUUUAAGUUGGGAGGAAGGGCAGUAAGCUAAUACCUUGCUGUUUUGACGUUACCGACAGAAUAAGCACCGGCUAACUCUGUGCCAGCAGCCGCGGUAAUACAGAGGGUGCAAGCGUUAAUCGGAAUUACUGGGCGUAAAGCGCGCGUAGGUGGUUCGUUAAGUUGGAUGUGAAAGCCCCGGGCUCAACCUGGGAACUGCAUCCAAAACUGGCGAGCUAGAGUAUGGUAGAGGGUGGUGGAAUUUCCUGUGUAGCGGUGAAAUGCGUAGAUAUAGGAAGGAACACCAGUGGCGAAGGCGACCACCCGGACUGAUACUGACACUGAGGUGCGAAAGCGCGGGGAGCAAACAGGAUUAGAUACCCUGGUAGUCCACGCCGUAAACGAUGUCAACUAGCCGUUGGAAUCCUUGAGAUUUUAGUGGCGCAGCUAACGCAUUAAGUUGACCGCCUGGGGAGUAC